rnacentral:rRNA from 1 species
CCUACGGGGGGCUGCAGUGGGGAAUAUUGGACAAUGGGGGCAACCCUGAUCCAGCCAUGCCGCGUGUGUGAAGAAGGCCCUCGGGUUGUAAAGCACUUUCAGUGAGGAAGAACGCCUGGUGGUUAAUACCCAUCAGGAAAGACAUCACUCACAGAAGAAGCACCGGCUAACUCCGUGCCAGCAGCCGCGGUAAUACGGGGGGUGCGAGCGUUAAUCGGAAUUACUGGGCGUAAAGCGCGCGUAGGUGGCUUGAUAAGCCGGUUGUGAAAGCCCCGGGCUCAACCUGGGAACGGCAUCCGGAACUGUCAAGCUAGAGGGCAGGAGAGGAAGGUAGAAGUCCCGGUGUAGCGGUGAAAUGCGUAGAGAUCGGGAGGAAUAGCAGUGGCGAAGGCGGCCUUCUGGACUGACACUGACACUGGGGUGCGAGAGCGUGGGUAGCAAACAGGAGUAGAUACCCCGGUAGUC